UACAGAGGUCUCAAGCGUUGUUCGGAUUCACUGGGCGUAAAGGGUGCGUAGGCGGGUCUUUAAGUCAGGGGUGAAAUCCUGGAGCUCAACUCCAGAACUGCCUUUGAUACUGAAGAUCUUGAGUUCGGGAAAGGUGAGUGGAACUGCGAGUGUAGAGGUGAAAUUCGUAGAUAUUCGCAAGAACACCAGUGGCGAAGGCGGCUCACUGGCCCGAUACUGACGCUGAGGCACGAAAGCGUGGGGAGCAAACAGG
rnacentral:rRNA from 1 species